UGAAAUUGCAAUCUUGCAAUGUCUUAUUCCAUUUGAUAGCCUACUAAAACCUAUAUUUCACAUGAACACAAAUGCUGAAGUCGGAUUAUUCUAUUGUCAUUAACGUAGUAUCAUCAACUUUGAAAUUGUUACUGUUAAUUAGCUUAUAGCCCACUGUAUCGUUGUUAUUUGUAUGGGCGUCUGCUAAAUACCGUAACCAUAACGUAAUUAGGCUAUUAUGCUAUCCCUAUCUUUUACUGUCUGUGGCUAAACCCAGUAGUUAACUUCCUAAUUUCUGUAUCUGUCCCUUAUUAACACCUACAUCGUAAAUCCUCAUAUUAUACAUACUUUAUUUAUAGCUGAGCCUCGGAUAAUAGCCGUGGUCGUUUUGAACAAAGCCUGCCCCAAAUAAAGGUCUGUGCGUUGCGCAGCCUCUACUUAAAAGACCCUGGCCAUAAUUUGAGGAUUUAUGUUAGGCUAGGUUCUAAGAGAAAUAUAUUUACUCAGGUUGGACAAUGUAAUGUCUCACACAUGUCGUGUUUUAUUUGACUCUGCCCUGACUUUUUAGGAGCGACUGCUUUGGACUCCAGUUUUGUGCGCAGUCUUUUUGCACACACCUCGGGGAGGGAGAAGGACAAACAACAUUCAGCCAAUGAAGCACAAAAUGCGUGACUUGCAACAAUCUCACUGGCUGUUCAACCACCAAUGUGGAGGAGCAUGAAGAGGCUACUAUUUCUACUGACCAUCACAGUGACCACAACUAUGAAAAGACCUGGCAUCGGAGAUGUCAGCACUGGAAAAUCUAAUCUUAUGGCCACCUAAGGAACAGCAGUGAGAUCACAACACAUGAUUGGUCCAGUGUAUCCCCAACACAUCACAUGAUUGGCACUAUGUAUUCACAUGUCAUCUUUUGGAUCUUUCAAACUGGAUUGUGGAUCCAAACAUUGUAAUGCUUUGUUUGACACUGUCUUGACAGGUCUUAAAUAAAAUAUGUUGAACCAUGA